GGCGCUAUAGCCAAGUGGUUACGGCGACAGAUUCGAAUGGUAACAUCUGAUAUCUGUUCCUCUUUGAGGGCGCAGGUUCAAAUCCUGCUGGCGUCG